GAUUUGGAGAGCGGAGGAAUGAUGGAGAGCAGAGAGGAGAGGCUUGGAGAUGAGGAAACUGAGGCUCAGAGAAGUUGAGGGACUGGCUCAGAGAUGUACAGCUUGGAAUUGCCAGAGCCAGCCUGGAAGACCAGCAGUCUCGCUCCAAUUGCACACUAUUUUCUCUGAGGCUCUGCAUUGUUGGAUGAAGGGUCUGAGGGGCUGGAGAGGAAGAAACAACGCAAAGAUGAGGCAGCAGAAGGGAAAUCGAGGUUCUGGGGGCUUCCAGCCUCAUGCUGCUUGCUCUCUCCUGAAUCCGUCGUUGGUCUUUCUGUCCUAAUCCGACCACUCCAUUGCCAGCCUCCAUUUCUCUGAAUGUUGAUAGAAGAGCUCCGGACUCUUUCCAGCUUUCCAGACUUUUCCACCCACACAGACUCAAGGGUCCUCCCAACUGUCCUGUGAAAAGAGGCCAUCGCAUUCCACAGGAGGGGAAACAGGCUUGGAGAAGGCACAUGGUCCCAUGAAGCUUCACUGUGGCUCUUUGGACUCUUCCUGGUCCCUCUGCCUGUCCUGGGCCUGCCAUCAUUCCACCUCCAGGUCUGCCUGCUGCCUACAUCUCUCCUCCCCCUCUCACCUUGCCCUGCACUGCAGCUGCCACCACCUCCAGCAGCCCUUUACACCAACAUCCUAAAGCGAUAAUGCCAUGAUGUUCCUGGCUUUUUCAAAACCCUUUUCCUAGAGUGUGUUCACCAGAAUGGCAGUCCCACGAGGAUCUCUGCGAUGAAAGGGCUUCAUGGUCAAAUAGUUUGGGAAAUGUGGCUUCCUUUGUCCCUUCCUUCUCAGUUUGCCAAAUUUAAUUAUGCCACACCCCCAUGCACCUUCUUUUGUUUCAUGAUAUCAUUAUUUAAUACCCCAUUUUGGAAUAUUAUCUAAGAAAUGUGGCCUGAGGAAUGAAGUUCAAAUCUCUCCUCUUGGCAUCCAAAGGGCUUCACCAUCAGAUCUCAACCUUGUUUUCCACUGUGCCUCUCUUGGAUGUCCAGAGCCCUUGCCCUCCCCUCAGUAGUCCCCGGUGUCCACAAAAUCCAUGAUCUCACCCUCCCUAUUUUUUCUCAGACCUCUCCACUCCUGUCAUGUAUCUCAGAGCUCUGUUUUUCCAGGGACACCCCCAACCUCUCACCCCUUGGCGGUGCACUGAGUGCUGCAUCUCACUCAGCCAUUGGUUGGGUGCAAAGUAAAUUUUCUUUCCAGGCA
rnacentral:lncRNA from 1 species